GUGUCAGCAGCCGCGGUAAUACAGAGGGUGCGAGCGUUAAUCGGAAUUACUGGGCGUAAAGCGCACGUAGUCGGCUUUGCAAGCCGGUUGUGAAAUCCCCGGGCUCAACCUGGGAACUGCAUCCGGGACUGCAUUGCUAGAGUAUGGGAGAGGGAAGCGGAAUUUCUGGUGUAGCAGUGAAAUGCGUAGAUAUCAGAAGGAACAUCAGUGGCGAAGGCGGCUUCCUGGACCAAUACUGACGAUCAGGUGCGAAAGCGUGGGGAGCAAACAGGAUUAGAUACCCCAGUAGUCC
rnacentral:rRNA from 1 species